rnacentral:rRNA from 1 species
CAGAGUGAACGCUGGCGGUAGGCCUAACACAUGCAAGUCGAACGGCAGCACAGUAAGAGCUUGCUCUUAUGGGUGGCGAGUGGCGGACGGGUGAGGAAUACAUCGGAAUCUACCUUUUCGUGGGGGAUAACGUAGGGAAACUUACGCUAAUACCGCAUACGACCUUCGGGUGAAAGCAGGGGACCUUCGGGCCUUGCGCGGAUAGAUGAGCCGAUGUCGGAUUAGCUAGUUGGCGGGGUAAAGGCCCACCAAGGCGACGAUCCGUAGCUGGUCUGAGAGGAUGAUCAGCCACACUGGAACUGAGACACGGUCCAGACUCCUACGGGAGGCAGCAGUGGGGAAUAUUGGACAAUGGGCGCAAGCCUGAUCCAGCCAUACCGCGUGGGUGAAGAAGGCCUUCGGGUUGUAAAGCCCUUUUGUUGGGAAAGAAAAGCAGUCGAUUAAUACUCGGUUGUUCUGACGGUACCCAAAGAAUAAGCACCGGCUAACUUCGUGCCAGCAGCCGCGGUAAUACGAAGGGUGCAAGCGUUACUCGGAAUUACUGGGCGUAAAGCGUGCGUAGGUGGUUGUUUAAGUCUGUUGUGAAAGCCCUGGGCUCAACCUGGGAAUUGCAGUGGAUACUGGACGACUAGAGUGUGGUAGAGGGUAGUGGAAUUCCCGGUGUAGCAGUGAAAUGCGUAGAGAUCGGGAGGAACAUCCA